UUGAUUAUAUCAUAAGAGAUGAAAUUACCUAACCUAAAUUAGCACACGUGGUGAUAGUGUACUUGCUUUGUUGAAUGUUCUGAUUAUAUUAGUGUUAUUAUAUGAAUUGCAUUUAUCUGUUGAAAUGAGAAUUUUGAAUAGAUGAAUUUAAUGAAGUGGAACAUAAAGGAAAAUAUGGGAGAAAUAUAUAAUUAAUUACUGGUGUUUGUUGUUUUAAUUCUAUCUUAAUAGGUCACAUCUAAUGCUUGGUCUAACAAUUUUCAGAAGUGGGAUGAUUUCCCGUAGCAGAACCCGGUCGCGCAGCCGGGUGAGGUGGUGUCCAUGGAGAAUGGAGCGUGAGCAGCCACGGGUGCAAGAAGAUGACAACGAAAGCAGCUCCCGGCGCCAACUUCGCUGCCACGUUGAGUCUACAGGCUGACGGCGGAUACGACGUUCACCGAGCGGUACUGGGUCGCAAAGCGAGUCAGGAUGGACGAGUGUCAAAAUGACAUUCCAAUGUGGCUGACAAGCACGGGACCCAGAGCUAUUCGAGCGCCAUAUUGGAACGAUGUGGCUAUUUAAGACCUGUAGCUUAAGGUCUGAGUUCAGUCUACGCUGAAAUUUUGGAAGAAAUAGUGCAAGUGUUAUAGUGUUUCGUGGUGGUUAGAAAAAGCUAAGUAUAUUAACUAUUUGGUUACUUUAAUAUUAGAAUGUUAGUAUGAUUAUCUGCAAAUAUUUUGAGACAUUAACCAUAUUGUGAUAAUUUCCUAAAUCUGCUUAAACUUUGAUUUGUUAUAGUUUGAGGUUUUAUCCACAUUGUGUAAAUUGGUUAUUGUUGGUUAAAAUGAUUUUCUCUGGAUUUCCAUCGGAAAUAAUUGUGUGAUUAAAAUGAAUUUAAAAUAACGUAAUUUUCCUAGUUCUGUAAAACUAAUAAGUUUGUCCCGCCAUUUUUUAUUAUUGGUGGAAUAAGAUUACAAAGGCGGUAGUAAUAAACUUUGGUUAAUAAUGUUAAAAUAAAUACAGUUACAUAACCUAAAAUAAAAACACGUGUUAAUAAUUUAUUAACUUUGUUGAUUAUUUGAUUAUAUCAUAAGAGAUGGAGUCAGUUAACCUAAAAUAAAACCACGUGUUGAUAAUUUAUUGAUUAUUUGAUUAUAUCAUAAGAGAUGAAAUUACCUAACCUAAAUUAGCACACGUGGUGAUAGUGUACUUGCUUUGUUGAAUGUUCUGAUUAUAUUAGUGUUAUUAUAUGAAUUGCAUUUAUCUGUUGAAAUGAGAAUUUUGAAUAGAUGAAUUUAAUGAAGUGGAACAUAAAGGAAAAUAUGGGAGAAAUAUAUAAUUAAUUACUGGU